rnacentral:lncRNA from 10 species
GGCUUUCUGAUAUAAAAAUCUUUCUAUAGAGAGAUGAACUAAGAUUGCUUCAAGGUUAAGGGUCUCUGGAGCCCAUUCCAUGAAGAUAUAUUACAGUAGAGAUGAUCAAGUGCAGAGAUGUCACCUGAGAAGAUUGUACAAGGUUUCUCAAGUUGGCUUAUGAGGAAACUGAGUCCCAGAGAGGGGCAAUGACUUAUACAAGUUUUCCAUGGGGCCUGGUGGAAGACUAGGACGGUCAACAGCAGCCUGGAGAGCCUGGAGUCUGCGUCAAUAUGCAACCCUAGCCCUGCACGCUGGGCGUUUGCCUGAGGUUUCCAGUGCACCGGAGGCGCGUACUCGUCUGCCUAAGAGGGCUGGAGUACAGUGGCGCCACCCUAGCUCACUGCAGCCUU